rnacentral:rRNA from 1 species
UACGUAGGGUGCGAGCGUUAAUCGGAAUUACUGGGCGUAAAGCGUGCGCAGGCGGCGCGUUAAGACAGGUGUGAAAGCCCCGAGCUUAACUUGGGAAUUGCGCUUGUGACUGGCGUGCUGGAGUGUGGCAGAGGGAGGUGGAAUUCCACGUGUAGCAGUGAAAUGCGUAGAGAUGUGGAGGAACACCGAUGGCGAAGGCAGCCUCCUGGGAUAACACUGACGCUCAGGCACGAAAGCGUGGGGAGCAAACAGG